rnacentral:rRNA from 1 species
AUUGAACGCUGGCGGCAGGCUUAACACAUGCAAGUCGAGCGGGGUGAUGGUGCUUGCACUAUCACUUAGCGGCGGACGGGUGAGUAAUGCUUAGGAAUCUGCCUAUUAGUGGGGGACAACAUCUCGAAAGGGAUGCUAAUACCGCAUACGUCCUACGGGAGAAAGCAGGGGAUCACUUGUGACCUUGCGCUAAUAGAUGAGCCUAAGUCGGAUUAGCUAGUUGGUGGGGUAAAGGACUACCAAGGCGACGAUCUGUAGCGGGUCUGAGAGGAUGAUCCGCCACACUGGGAGUGGUAAACGGCCCAGACUCCGACGGGAGGCAGAGGUGGGGAAUAUUGGACAAUGGGGGGAACCCUGAUCAGCCAUGCCGCGUGUGUGAAGAAGGCCUUAUGGUUGUAAAGCACUUUAAGCGAGGAGGAGGCUCUUUUGGUUAAUACCCAAGAUGAGUGGACGUUACUCGCAGAAUAAGCACCGGCUAACUCUGUGCCAGCCGCCGCGGUAA